UACAGAGGUCUCAAGCGUUGUUCGGAUUCAUUGGGCGUAAAGGGUGCGUAGGUGGCGCCGUAAGUCGGGUGUGAAAUUUCGGAGCUUAACUCCGAAACUGCAUUCGAUACUGCGGUGCCUGAGGACUGGAGAGGAGACUGGAAUUCAUGGUGUAGCAGUGAAAUGCGUAGAGAUCAUGAGGAAGACUAGUGGCGAAGGCGGGUCUCUGGACAGUUCCUGACACUGAGGCGCGAAAGCUAGGGGAGCAAACGGG
rnacentral:rRNA from 1 species